rnacentral:rRNA from 1 species
UUUAUGGAGAGUUUGAUCCUGGCUCAGGAUGAACGCUGGCGGCGUGCCUAAUACAUGCAAGUCGAGCGAACGGACGAGAAGCUUGCUUCUCUGAUGUUAGCGGCGGACGGGUGAGUAACACGUGGAUAACCUACCUAUAAGACUGGGAUAACUUCGGGAAACCGGAGCUAAUACCGGAUAAUAUUUUGAACCGCAUGGUUCAAAAGUGAAAGACGGUCUUGCUGUCACUUAUAGAUGGAUCCGCGCUGCAUUAGCUAGUUGGUAAGGUAACGGCUUACCAAGGCAACGAUGCAUAGCCGACCUGAGAGGGUGAUCGGCCACACUGGAACUGAGACACGGUCCA